rnacentral:rRNA from 1 species
AAUAGAUACCCCGGUAGUCCACGCCGUAAACGAUGUCGAUUUGGAGGUUGUUCCCUUGAGGAGUGGCUUCCGGAGCUAACGCGUUAAAUCGACCGCCUGGGGAGUACGGCCGCAAGGUUAAAACUCAAAUGAAUUGACGGGGGCCCGCACAAGCGGUGGAGCAUGUGGUUUAAUUCGAUGCAACGCGAAGAACCUUACCUACUCUUGACAUCCAGAGAACUUUCCAGAGAUGGAUUGGUGCCUUCGGGAACUCUGAGACAGGUGCUGCAUGGCUGUCGUCAGCUCGUGUUGUGAAAUGUUGGGUUAAGUCCCGCAACGAGCGCAACCCUUAUCCUUUGUUGCCAGCGGUUCGGCCGGGAACUCAAAGGAGACUGCCAGUGAUAAACUGGAGGAAGGUGGGGAUGACGUCAAGUCAUCAUGGCCCUUACGAGUAGGGCUACACACGUGCUACAAUGGCGUAUACAAAGAGAAGCGACCUCGCGAGAGCAAGCGGACCUCAUAAAGUACGUCGUAGUCCGGAUUGGAGUCUGCAACUCGACU